CCUACGGGAGGCUGCAGUAGGGAAUCUUCCAUAAUGGGCGAAAGCCUGAUGGAGCAACGCCGCGUGGGUGAAGAAGGUCUUCGGAUCGUAAAACCCUGUUGUUAGAGAAGUAAGUGCGUGAGAGUAACUGUUCACGUUUCGACGGUAUCUAACCAGAAAGCCACGGCUAACUACGUGCUAGCAGCCGCGGUAAUACGUAGGUGGCAAGCGUUAUCCGGAUUUAUUGGGCGUAAAGGGAACGCAGACGGUCUUUUAAGUCUGAUGUGAAAGCCUUCGGCUUAACCGGAGUAGUGCAUUGGAAACUGGUAGACUUGAGUGCAGAUGAGGAGGGUGGAACUCGAUGUGUAGCGGUGAAAUGCGUAGAUAUAUGGAAGAACACCAAUGGCGAAGGCAGCUCUCUGGUCUGUAACUGACGCUGAGGUUCGAAAGCGUGGGUAGCAAACAGGAUUAGAUACCCGUGUAGUC
rnacentral:rRNA from 1 species